AAUCUUCCGCAAUGGACGAAAGUCUGACGGAGCAACGCCGCGUGAGUGAUGAAGGUUUUCGGAUCGUAAAACUCUGUUGUUAGGGAAGAACAAGUAUCGUUCGAAUAGGGCGGUACCUUGACGGUACCUAACCAGAAAGCCACGGCUAACUACGUGCCAGCAGCCGCGGUGAUACGUAGGGGGCGAGCGUUGUCCGGAUUCACUGGGCGUAAAGGGCGCGUAGGCGGUUCCGUAAGUCAGGCGUGAAAGCUCACGGCUCAACUGUGGACGUGCGUCUGAUACUGCGGUGACUUGAGGUCGGUAGAGGUAAGUGGAACUAGCGGUGUAGCGGUGAAAUGCGCAGAUAUCGCUAGGAACGCCGGUGGCGAAGGCGACUUGCUGGGCCGUACCUGACGCUGAUGCGCGAAAGCUAGGGGAGCGAAC
rnacentral:rRNA from 1 species